CCGGUAAACGGCGGCCGUAACUAUAACGGUCCUAAGGUAGCGAAAUUCCUUGUCGGGUAAGUUCCGACCUGCACGAAUGGCGUAAUGAUGGCCAGGCUGUCUCCACCCGAGACUCAGUGAAAUUGAACUCGCUGUGAAGAUGCAGUGUACCCGCGGCAAGACGGAAAGACCCCGUGAACCUUUACUAUAGCUUGACACUGAACAUUGAGCCUUGAUGUGUAGGAUAGGUGGGAGGCUUUGAAGUGUGGACGCCAGUCUGCAUGGAGCCGACCUUGAAAUACCACCCUUUAAUGUUUGAUGUUCUAACGUUGACCCGUAAUCCGGGUUGCGGACAGUGUCUGGUGGGUAGUUUGACUGGGGCGGUCUCCUCCUAAAGAGUAACGGAGGAGCACGAAGGUUGGCUAAUCCUGGUCGGACAUCAGGAGGUUAGUGCAAUGGCAUAAGCCAGCUUGACUGCGAGCGUGACGGCGCGAGCAGGUGCGAAAGCAGGUCAUAGUGAUCCGGUGGUUCUGAAUGGAAGGGCCAUCGCUCAACGGAUAAAAGGUACUCCGGGGAUAACAGGCUGAUACCGCCCAAGAGUUCAUAUCGACGGCGGUGUUUGGCACCUCGAUGUCGGCUCAUCACAUCCUGGGGCUGAAGUAGGUCCCAAGGGUAUGGCUGUUCGCCAUUUAAAGUGGUACGCGAGCUGGGUUUAGAACGUCGUGAGACAGUUCGGUCCCUAUCUGCCGUGGGC
rnacentral:rRNA from 1 species